ACGCUCGACACCUACGGAGGCAGCAGUCGGGAAUAUUGCGCAAUGGAGGAAACUCUGACGCAGUGACGCCGCGUAUAGGAAGAAGGUUUUCGGAUUGUAAACUAUUGUCGUUAGGGAAGAAAAAAGACAGUACCUAAGGAGGAAGCUCCGGCUAACUACGUGCGANCNCGCCGAGUAUGNGCGGCGGNGNGAGAG
rnacentral:rRNA from 1 species